UCGUCAACUAAUGUAGUAAGAUGUUGGGAUAAGUCCCGCAACGAGCGCAACCCAAAAUAUUAGUUGCUAAGCAAGCGCACUCUAAUAGGACUGCCGUUGUCAAAACGGAGGAAGGUGGGGACGACGUCAAAUCAUCAUGCCCCUUAUGACCUGGGCUACACACGUACUACAGUGGCCAUCAACAGAGGGAAGCAAAACAGCGAUGUGGAGCAAACCCCUAAAAAUGGUCUCAGUUCAGAUUGCAGGCUGCAACCCGCCUGCAUGAAGUCGGAAUUGCUAGUUAUCGCGGAUCCGCAUGCCGCGGUGAAUACGUUCCCGGGCCUUGUACACACCGCCCGUCACACCAUGGGAGCCGGUAAUACCCGAAGUCAGUAGUCUAACGCAAGAGGACGCUGCCGAAGGUAGGAUCGGCGACUGGGGUGAAGUCGUAACAAGGUAACCGUA
rnacentral:rRNA from 1 species